GAUGAACGCUGGCGGCGUGCCUAAUACAUGCAAGUCGAGCGAACAGACGAGGAGCUUGCUCCUCUGACGUUAGCGGCGGACGGGUGAGUAACACGUGGAUAACCUACCUAUAAGACUGGGAUAACUUCGGGAAACCGGAGCUAAUACCGGAUAAUAUAUUGAACCGCAUGGUUCAAUAGUGAAAGACGGUUUUGCUGUCACUUAUAGAUGGAUCCGCGCCGUAUUAGCUAGUUGGUAAGGUAACGGCUUACCAAGGCAACGAUGCGUAGCCGAAGGGAGAGGGUGAUCGGCCACACUGGAGCUGAGACGCGGUCCAGGCUCCUACGGGAGGCAGCAGUAGGGAAUCUUCCGCAAUGGGCGAAAGCCUGACGGAGCAACGCCGCGUGAGUGAUGAAGGUCUUCGGAUCGUAAAACUCUGUUAUGAGGGAAGAACAAAUGUGUAAGUAACUAUGCACGUCUUGACGGUACCUAAUCAGAAAGCCACGGCUAACUACGUG
rnacentral:rRNA from 1 species